rnacentral:misc_RNA from 1 species
AGGUAGGCAGUGGUUGCCGACCUCGCAUUGUUCGAAAUAUAUAUUUCGUAUAAUGAUUAUAUUGGUUACUUAUAAUAAAGUAUAUUAUUAUCCGUACAAAUUUGUUUCUCAGUUCUUUUUGAACACGGGACUUGGCUCCGCGAAUAAUAGGAAUAUACGCUAUUUUAGAUAAUAUCGUUGAAACAAAAGUCAAGUUUCUAUUAUACAUAGAAUAACAAAUCGUUUUCAUAUAUUAU